rnacentral:rRNA from 1 species
GUCUACGGCCAUGCCACUUUGAAUAAGCCCAAUCCUGUCUGAUCUCAGAAGCUAAGUAGGAUUGGGCCUAGUUAGUACUUGGAUGAGGACCACCUAGGAAGACCAGGUGUUGUAGGUG